rnacentral:lncRNA from 1 species
UGCCAUUGAUUGCUAAACCAACCAUUUCGAAUCACCAAUCAAACCAACCCAACUCAAAGUGAUGUGCCAAACUCCAGCUCUCGCCCUGCCGAAGGUCGAACCACCCUCAACCUCAAAUUAAGAUUUCAAGAUGUGCGAGACUCGGACCCGAAAGUCAAAACAUGAGCUUUCGGAUGCGACUCCUGAUACAAAUGUUCAAAUUCGAAAUGCUAGGGAAGCCUAGCAGACCGGUUUCUAAACAAAAAAACAAUCUCGUUUUGAUUUCAGCUAUUCACAAGUACCCAUUGGAUAAUCACCAAUUAAUAAUGUCCAAGAACUACUCAAAGAGUCCACAGAUGAAAAAUGCUCUAAAUUAGAGUGUCCUGUAAUCUGGAACGAAACCGAUAUGAUUGUAUUGAGAUGGAAACCUGUACAAUAUUUUACUCGAUGCCGUAGCCCCCAAUAACACUGCCAAAACACCCCCAUUUUUGAGUACAUCAUUUGAUAUUCGACCACCGAUCCGCCUGGCCCUCCAUCUCUCCAACGAACCGACAAAAACGCUUCACGAAAUCGACCAGGUGAGCUGAGGGGGGUGCUAGAAUUGGAUUUGUCAGGAUGAGAAAGGAUGCAAUGUGAAGCAGCAAAUGUUCUAACCGGAAUGGUGCCGGUUGGGGUGUAAGCUUCAAACAACACUCUCAAACGAGACAAGGGUUUGUUGCGGACU